CGGGUGCACUGAUCCAGCCGGGCCUUUCCCUCUGUGGAACCCCAUGGCCUUCACUGGCUGUGGUGGGGAAACAGGACUUUUACUUUGAAAAAAUUAGAGUGCUCCAGGCAGGCCUAUGCUCGAAUACAUUAGCAUGGAAUAAUAGAAUAGGACGUGUGGUUCUAUUUUGUUGGUUUCUAGGACCGCCGUAAUGAUUAAUAGGGACAGUCGGGGGCAUCAGUAUUCAAUUGUCAGAGGUGAAAUUCUUGGAUCUAUUGAAGACUAACUACUGCGAAAGCAUUUGCCAAGGAUGUUUUCAUUGAUAAGGAACGAAAGUUAGGGGAUCGAAGACGAUCAGAUACCGUCGUAGUCUUAACUAUAAACUAUGCCGACUAGGGAUCGGACGAUGUUAUUCUUUGACGCGUUCGGCACCUUUCGAGAAAUCAAAGUGCUUGGGCUCCAGGGGGAGUAUGGUCGCAAGGCUGAAACUUAAAGAAAUUGACGGAAGGGCACCACCAGGGGUGGAACCUGCGGCUUAAUUUGACUCAACACGGGGAAACUCACCAGGUCCAGACACAGUGAGGAUUGACAGAUUGAGAGCUCUUUCUUGAUUCUGUGGGUGGUGGUGCAUGGCCGUUCUUAGUUGGUGGAGUGAUUUGUCUGCUUAAUUGCGAUAACGAACGGGACCUUAACCUGCUAAAUAGCCCGUACUGCUUUGGCAGUUCGCCGGCUUCUUAGAGGGACUAUCGG
rnacentral:rRNA from 1 species